AAAUUGAAGAGUUUGAUCAUGGCUCAGAUUGAACGCUGGCGGCAGGCCUAACACAUGCAAGUCGAACGGUAACAGGAAGCAGCUUGCUGCUUUGCUGACGAGUGGCGGACGGGUGAGUAAUGUCUGGGAAACUGCCUGAUGGAGGGGGAUAACUACUGGAAACGGUGGCUAAUACCGCAUAACGUCGCAAGACCAAAGAGGGGGACCUUCGGGCCUCUUGCCAUCAGAUGUGCCCAGAUGGGAUUAGCUAGUUGGUGAGGUAA
rnacentral:rRNA from 3 species